rnacentral:lncRNA from 1 species
UCGGUACUUACGAAGGAGUCGCUCACUACCAACACCACGUUAGGCGUCCCGGCUACUCCCCUCCUGUGAUCCGCCGGGGGGGCCGGCGCCGCCAACGCGGAGGCUGAGACCACUGUCAUCCACAGCAACAGCAUCGCACGUAGCGGUUCCAAUAGCCGGCCGCUGGGCCCGCCUUCUGGGGAACUCUUUCCAGCGGGGGCUGGGGCUGGGACAGCGAACUUCCAGUUGGGUUUCCAUAUACUGCAAUUCAGCGCUUCAUCCACGGAACUACAACUCCCAUCAAGCCCAGGGGCGGCGCAUGCGCAAAGGACUUCAACGCGUAAGACCUUUCAAACACCGACCGAAGCAAAUCCCAGCCACUUCCAGUCACGUGAGCGACGCCCGGGAAGUGAGCUUGCGCUCCCCAGAUUUGGUGUCUGUGGGGAAGUUUCGUCUGUCCCAGAUGGAAAACGAGUAGGGAACAAUCUGAAAUUCAGUUCAGGAAGAAGACAGAAGUAGUGGUAAUAGGUAAAAGUCUACAGGUUAGUUUGCCAAAGGAAUUUGGUUUCAGAAAAUUUAAUGUGAAAUCAGCAUUGAAAUUUGUUAUCUGCUGCUGUCAAGAUUUAUAGACUACAGAAGAUUCUUCUCAUGUUUUCACUUAUAAAUUAAUACCAAGAUAAUUUCAAGUAAGACAGUAUUUGUAAGAUAAGAGCCUAUGAAAUAUGUUGCUUUAAGUUAUAUAAUUAUUGUAAGUAGGUAUAAAAUUACUUU